AAGUGUUAAUUAUUAUUUAAUGCUCUUCACCGUGCAGGUACAAAGGAUAGCACCAACCUCACAGAUGCCUCUGCAUGGACUUGAAGCUGUUCUCCAGGUGGAGGUUCUGACCCAGGUUCUGACCCAGGAGACACAGCUGACCUCACCUUGGCAUUGACCUGCAGGUCCUUUCAUUGUGUCUGACCCAGUUUUCAGGAAGAAGACUCACUUUGCUUGGCUGGACGAUCAACUGGGGUAAAUUUUCAGAGUCAUUCCAGGCAGAAAACCGGAUUCCUCUUGCUGUUGUAACGUGUUCUUCCUGCCACCGGUGAUAUAAAGACUGUGGGCUUCACCGGCAGUGGAAGACCAGGAGAGAUCCCUCCUUAUU